rnacentral:rRNA from 1 species
UGCAGUCGAACGAUGAUGCCCAGCUUGCUGGGUGGAUUAGUGGCGAACGGGUGAGUAACACGUGAGUAACCUGCCCCUGACUCUGGGAUAAGCGUUGGAAACGACGUCUAAUACUGGAUAUGAUCACUGGCCGCAUGGUCUGGUGGUGGAAAGAUUUUUUGGUUGGGGAUGGACUCGCGGCCUAUCAGCUUGUUGGUGAGGUAAUGGCUCACCAAGGCGACGACGGGUAGCCGGCCUGAGAGGGUGACCGGCCACACUGGGACUGAGACACGGCCCAGACUCCUACGGGAGGCAGCAGUGGGGAAUAUUGCACAAUGGGCGAAAGCCUGAUGCAGCAACGCCGCGUGAGGGAUGACGGCCUUCGGGUUGUAAACCUCUUUUAGUAGGGAAGAAGCGAAAGUGACGGUACCUGCAGAAAAAGCACCGGCUAACUACGUGCCAGCAGCCGCGGUAAUACGUAGGGUGCAAGCGUUGUCCGGAAUUAUUGGGCGUAAAGAGCUCGUAGGCGGUUUGUCGCGUCUGCUGUGAAAUCCCGAGGCUCAACCUCGGGCUUGCAGUGGGUACGGGCAGACUAGAGUGCGGUAGGGGAGAUUGGAAUUCCUGGUGUAGCGGUGGAAUGCGCAGAUAUC